GAUGAACGCUGACAGAAUGCUUAACACAUGCAAGUCUUUGGCGAAUCUGUGCUUGCACAGGCUAGCCAAGGCGGACGGGUGAGUAACGCGUAAAGAACUUGCCCUGCAGACAGGGAUAACAGACGGAAACGACUGAUAACACCUGAUACAGUUGCCGGCACGCAUGUGCCUGGCAAUGAAAAGAGAUGCUGCAGGAGAGCUUUGCGUCCUAUUAGCUUGUUGGUGAGGUGACGGCUCACCAAGGCGAUGAUAGGUAGCCGGCCUGAGAGGGUGAACGGCCACAAGGGGACUGAGAUACGGCCCUUACUCCUACGGGAGGCAGCAGUGGGGAAUAUUGGACGAUGGGGGCAACCCUGAUCCAGCAAUUCUGUGUGGACGAAGAAGGUUUUCGGAUUGUAAAGUGCUUUCAGCAGGGAAGAAGAAAGUGACGGUACCUGCAGAAGAAGCGACGGCUAAAUACGUG
rnacentral:rRNA from 1 species